UACGAAGGGGGCUAGCGUUGUUCGGAAUCACUGGGCGUAAAGCGCACGUAGGCGGCGCGUUAAGUCAGGGGUGAAAUCCUGGAGCUCAACUCCAGAACUGCCUUUGAUACUGGGGUGCUCGAGUGUGGGAGAGGUGGGUGGAACUCCGAGUGUAGAGGUGAAAUUCGUAGAUAUUCGGAAGAACACCAGUGGCGAAGGCGGCCCACUGGCCCGAUACUGACGCUGAGGUGCGAAAGCGUGGGGAGCAAACAGG
rnacentral:rRNA from 1 species